rnacentral:tRNA from 1 species
GGAGGAGUGGCUGAGUGGUCGAAGGCACCGCACUCGAAAUGCGGCAAGGGGGAAACCCCUUCGAGAGUUCGAAUCUCUCCUCCUCCG